UGGUAGUCCACGCUGUAAACGAUGUCGAUUUGAAGGUUGUUCCCUUGAGGAGUGGCUUUCGGAGCUAACGCGUUAAAUCGACCGCCUGGGGAGUACGGCCGCAAGGUUAAAACUCAAAUGAAUUGACGGGGGCCCGCACAAGCGGUGGAGCAUGUGGUUUAAUUCGAUGCAACGCGAAGAACCUUACCUACUCUUGACAUCCAGAGAACUUAGCAGAGAUGCUUUGGUGCCUUCGGGAACUCUGAGACAGGUGCUGCAUGGCUGUCGUCAGCUCGUGUUGUGAAAUGUUGGGUUAAGUCCCGCAACGAGCGCAACCCUUAUCCUUUGUUGCCAGCGAUUCGGUCGGGAACUCAAAGGAGACUGCCGGUGAUAAACCGGAGGAAGGUGGGGAUGACGUCAAGUCAUCAUGGCCCUUACGAGUAGGGCUACACACGUGCUACAAUGGCGUAUACAAAGAGAAGCGACCUCGCGAGAGCAAGCGGAACUCAUAAAGUACGUCGUAGUCCGGAUUGGAGUCUGCAACUCGACUCCAUGAAGUCGGAAUCGCUAGUAAUCGUAGAUCAGAAUGCUACGGUGAAUACGUUCCCGGGCCUUGUACACACCGCCCGUCACACCAUGGGAGUGGGUUGCAAAAGAAGUAGGUAGCUUAACCUUCGGGAGGGCGCUUACCACUUUGUGAUUCAUGACUGGGGUGAAGUCGUAA
rnacentral:rRNA from 1 species